rnacentral:rRNA from 1 species
UACAGAGGGGGCGAGCGUUGUUCGGAAUUACUGGGCGUAAAGGGCGCGUAGGCGGCCUGCUAAGUCGGACGUGAAAUCCCUCGGCUCAACCGGGGAACUGCGUCCGAUACUGGUUGGCUUGAAUUCGGGAGAGGGAUGCGGAAUUCCAGGUGUAGCGGUGAAAUGCGUAGAUAUCUGGAGGAACACCGGUGGCGAAGGCGGCAUCCUAGGACCAACACUGACGCUGAGGAG